GGUCUGAAUUGAAAUCAUAAAUUUUUGAUACAUUUCUUUUAUUACAAUUUUUUCAUCACAUCAAACAGUCAAGUUUGUCUUUCUGUGUAAUAUAUUUCUACCACUAGUGAAUAAUAAUUUUUCAUCGUUUCAGUUGUAAGAUUUAGAAAGAGUCUCGGAUUCGUUGUUCUAAUGACAACUCCAGUAGGUCUUCAAUUUUUUAAAUAUAGACUAAAGACAAAAAAAGGGCUUGUCAGAGAUAAAUGAUAAUAGAGAAGUUGAAUUUGGACAUUUGUCAGCUAGAGGAACUCGACGGAAUUAUUCUCCGAUGGAAUUGACCAAACAUUAACUUUGGAAAUUCCGAUGUUUUAUCCAAGGAUUAAGAUAAAAGAAAGUGAAAUGAGAAAAGAAAAGAGACGUAAAGUUCAUUAAAAGACGAAUCUGAAGAUGACAGGCGAAAACGUGCACUUUACGAGGGCAAUAAUUGAAAAAAGGAUAGAGGUGAAAUUAUUGCAAAAAAAGGAAGAAAAAAAAAAUUAAAAGAGACAUUGUCGUCAUCCCUGACGUCGAGAUGUAUUACUGUCUUUUUUAGCGAAGAAAAAGAAAUUGAAGAAACACCAAUGGAGAGAGAAGAGAUAUAUAGAGAGAUCGAAAACUGGAAAUGUCAGUGAAAAGUGGAAGGGGGAUAAUAUCCACUCUGUCACUUGAAUAGCUUCAGGAUAUGAAAUAAAAAUCAAUAUAGGUAGAAAGAAUCGCUUGCCUAGAAAUGUACCAGUCAAUGCCAUAUUUCGUUUCUUUCUACUAUCUAUACAUUUCGGUUUAACGAAUGAGAUACUUUUUCUUUUAAACAAAAAUAAAAAAAAAAUAAGCGAAAAAAUUUCAAUUCAUAACUCAACGACGCUCAAAAAAACACACGGGAAGUUUCAAUUUUAGGAUCUAGGAAUUAUUAAAGCAAUAUUUUUUUAAAAAUAUUAACUUUUUAAAAUUUUACUUUUCGCUUUUGUUCAAUCGUAUUAGAAUCAUAAUUAAAAAUAGCGUAAGAUUAGUGAAAUUUGCUAUAAAAUUAAUAAUUUUCUUUUCUUAAAAAAACAAAAAUUAACUGUCACAAGAAAAUAUAUUUUGUGAAUUUUUUUCAUUUAAAUACAUUUUUGGAGUUAAUUAUAUUUAUAAAAGCAUUAAAGAAAUCUCUAAAAAAAAGGCUCUUUUUAUAUUUUCGGUUAUGAGGAGCGGAAAAAUAAAAAUUGUUUUAUCGUUUCCCUUAUUAAAUGAUAAACCCCUGUCUUGAUAUUUUUUUUUUCAUGUUUAAUUUACGAAUUCUCUAACAGCGUGACAAAAUUUGUACAAACACAUAAUAUCAUAAUAUUAUAAUUUUCUAUUUUCUAUACACUCUACAUAUUUAUACGUAUAUUCAUAUAUUAUUUAUAUAUGCUAUAUAUACAUACAUAAAUGCAUUUUUAAAAAUGUUUAAUGAAUUCUGAUAACGAUUUUUUUUUUAAUGAUGACAAUAUUUUAAUAUAAUUAAUGAACAAACAUCAUCUUACCUCGUAUUUCAAUAGCGGCUUUUUUUUCUCAUGACAAUAAUAUAGUAGUAAUUAUUAAAUAAUAAUUAUUUAAUAAGAAAUUAUCAUAAUUUCAAUAAUUAAAAAUGUAAUAUUAUAUUUCUAAAAUUAAUUUCAUUCGAAACAUUGUUUAAUUAUAAUUGUAAAAAUUUUCGAAAUAUUCAAAUUAUAUAAAUAUAUAAUACAUUAAAGAAAAUUGUUUAUUAAUAAUAAAUUUAACUUAAAAAAUUUUACAAUUUAGGGAGAGAAAGUGUCAAAAUGCGAAAUUUUUGUUAAUUUAAGGAGAUCAAAUUUUUUCAGCUUUUAUAAAAUAAUUUUUUUUUUUUUUCUAAAUUUAUUGUCGUUUUAUAUUAAAUUUUUUCUUAAAAUCCAAAUUUCUACAUACUUUCUAAGAUAAAAAUGUACUAUUUUUGUCGCAUAAAACAAAUAAAACUUUUGUCACUUAUUUCCCAAAAUAGUAAAGAAAAAAAAAAGUAAAAUUUAGAAAUUAAUUUCUUUCAAUGCAAUAAUAAUGAAAAUAGAAAUAAUAUUUUACAAAAAUAUAAUGGUAAUAAUUGCAAAUAAUAAGAGAUUAUUAAUAGUAGAAAAUAACGAAAAAAAAAAAUAAUAAUAAUAAUAAUAAUACCGAUAGCACUAUAAUUAUUAAUAAUAAUCAUUAUAUUUAAUUUAAUCAUAAUAUAAAUCAUAAUAUUACAGUAUAUCGUUUAACGCUUAGGUAUCAAUUUGCACCAUGUUAAAGAUAUGUCUGAGAAAGUUAGCUUACAUAACAAUCAUAUAUAUUUAUUUAUAUAUAUAUAUAUGUAUAUAUUUAUAUAUAAUAUGUAUAUUUUUCAUAAUAAUGGCGUACAAACCUUCGUGGCGUCGUACGCCUUUUAUAAACUUUAGAGAUUUACAAUGAUGCAUUAGAUCGUUAUAUAAUCAAUUCGUCCGCUAUUUUCAGCGUCAUUAUUUAAGUCAUACAGAAAAUUAUUUAACGUCGUCGAUUUACAUCGUUGCGAUGAUUCAGUUAGGUUUUUAUUUUAUGUAUUUGCUUUCUUAGUCGUCUAACAUAGUUUUUAUUAUAUAUCAAUAUAUAUAUAGUUUCAUCGAUCGCCAGUAUUUUUAUCCCCGAAAUCAAACAAAUUCAUUUUUCUUUUCGUUAUAUACUUUACACUGGAUGACAAUUAGAUUAAAAUAAAAGAAUUUUAAGAUAAAAUAUAUUUUUUUAAAAAAAUAAAAGAUUAUUUUGCAUAAUAAAUUUUAAUUAUAUAUUAAAUAGAUAAAUUUAAAUUGUAAUUAAUUUAAAUUUAUUGGAAAUACAUGGAAGAUUUUCUUAAUUUUAAUAUUUAUGAUUUGUUUCUUUAAAUUAAAUAAAAAAAUUUUAUUUUCUUAAAUCGUAGAAAAUAAAAUUUUAUUUAUUCGAAAUUACAAUGUGAAAUAAAUGUUUUGUCAUUAAUUUUCAGGGGUGUGGGUGGGGCAAUCGACGAGAGUGAUUUGAGAGCAAACAGAAAAAUGUGUAGCCAUUCUUCUUUUUUAUUCAAGAGUUUGAAUAAAAAAUUGUCUGGCCACUAUUAUGGAAAGCAAAAAACGAGAGGAAGACAAUCUGUUGCACAGGAAUUACGGGCGAAGAAUUUUUAUUUUAUUUAUUUUUUUCGUAGAGUCCUGUACGAUUAUUUAUUAUUAUUAAUUAUUAUUAUUUUUUUUAAGGAAAAGAAUAGCGUACUUUCUUUUCCAUUCUUUAGUUUAAGUUAUAUUAUUAAUUAUAAUUAUAGGUAAGCUGUAGCUGCGAGGUCAGGAGAAAGAAAAAAAUGGACGAUGGGCAGAUUUGCGCACUAACGAUAGAUUUCUUUUUUUUAUAUAUAAUAAUAUUUAUAUGAUAGUUGUGUUUAUUUAAGGCAGCAAGAACAAUUAUUAUGACGAGGUUUACUUAUUCGUUCGUUAGUCGAUAAAACGCAUUUUUUUUUAUUAUUAUUUUACUUACAACACUAACCGACAAUACACGCAAAUUUUCUUGUUCAUUUUUUUUCUUUUCUAUUACAUUCGCUUUUUCAAUUUUUUUUUUUUUUUUUUUUUUUUUUUUGUCGCUUGAGAGUAAUGUUUUUUGGCUUUCUCGUGUUUAACUUUGACUUUCUUUUUUAAUCCUAGGUGACUUGUAUAAGUAGUUUUGUAUUUUGUUCUAUCUCGUUUCAUUAUUAUUAUUAUUAUUAUUAUUAUUAAUUUUAUCAUUUUAUUAAUAUUAUUAUUAUUUAAUAUUUAUUAUUAUUAUACAUGAUAUAAUUUUAGCGUAUAAUUUUCUACUCCAAACGAGCGGCCUGAUCUUUGCUCCCAAAGUCAAUCUUAGUUUUUAAAACACAUGAAUUAUUAUUUCUCUCUGUCGAAAUUCACUCGUCACAUCCAUGCUUUUUUAUGUGUCGCGGUUCUCUUUCAUAUUUAUGCACUACUGAAAAUCGAAACAAGUAGUGAAUUUAGGCCUAGAGAGCUUUAAAUGUCGCCUAUAGUUGCUUUCUUAAUUAAAUUUACAUCUAUAAGCUUGUGAAGAAUUUUUUCUUCUUUAAACCUGACACUUUAUCGUGGAAGUGGAUUUUGAAUCAAAAUUCAUUUAUUUUCAUUAUAAUUUGGAUAAUAAAUUGAAAUUUUUUUUUUUAGCAUAAUUUAGAUUGGACUAAGAGAAGUGAAAAUAAAAAAAAAAAAAAAAGAAAGAAAGAAAGUAGGUCUGAUUGUUAUUAUCGUUUAUAAUAAUCAAUGUGUCGACCUUUGAAAUAAAAAGAUAUUUACCCUUUGAAUUAACAAAAGGGUCAAACUCACAUGACUGUCGUGACCAUAAGUUGUAAAAAAAAAAAAGAAAAAAAAACAAGUAAUUUUUUACUCAAGCGAGAUAUAUCGAAAUUUCGCGGGACAGAAGAUACGCUAACGAUUGGUCAGCAGAGAUUAGAGCUUGACUGUGCUAUCAAAAGUAGACAAAAAAGUCCGACAAUCUCUUUUAACAAUCAUUUUUUUUUUUUUAUUUCUUAU